rnacentral:sRNA from 1 species
CAUGGUAUAGCCUAUCGCCCUCAGAGGCUAGAUGGUUAUGAAGCACUGCCUUUGAUUGGUUCAACUAUUGGGACUUCUGUCUAUAUCUUCUAUGUUUUUCAUUCUCCUCGUUCUCACUCUUUCCCUUUCGUCUUCUUAGACUCUUGCUACUCUGCCAAAUGUGUCUAAUUAAAUUUCACAUUCCAUUGCAUUUAUCCCUCGGGACCCACAAGCACUCCAUCCUUUUCUUGGCCAACUUCUUAUAGCUGUGAAAGAAAGAGAGAGAAAAACACGCACAGAUUCUAGUUGGAGAUGGUAGCGGAGACUCACAUUUAGUGGACAAGUUAAUGGCUCCAACAUUUUGCUUUGAUUUUGCCAUCCUCAUACACUGACUCACACUAAGGCGCACACCCACACAAGAUGGGAGCCCCCUUCCAUUAUAAUGAUUUUGCCAUUGAACGUGUUGUCAUUUGUUUUAAUGGAAAAUUCUGAUGAGUUUUCUUUUCUUUUGGCUCUGAGAAUUCCCAUAAUCAUAAUCGAACAAUGACGGAGGAAGCAAGAGGCAGGCAAGCGAAAAAUGUGUACGGGUAGCAUAACCUUAGACAGAGGGAGCAAAUGCAUUUUAUGACUUUUUUAUGCAUUUAACUGCCACAAAUUAGCCAUUCCGAAAUGAAGUUAAGUUGAGGCAGGGCCACGCCCCACAACACACACUCACACACACACACACACACACGAACAAACCCUCUCAGAUUUUACCCAUUUGCAAGCCCAUUUCAAAUUGUCACUUAUCAAACAAACUGUCAGUUAAAUUAUAUUUUUGCCCAUCGCAUUUGUAACCAUCAACGUCGCUGCAUCCCCGAGAGAGUGCCUGAGUUGCCAGCAGCAGAAGCAGCAGCAGAGGCAGGAGCAGCAGUGGAGAAACUGAGACGCCUUCAAAGCUGCUCGGAAAGGGAAGUACACUGAAAAACAAAGUACGAAGGCUAUGCUACCGUUAAUUACUACUCAACAGAUGCGAAUAUGAUAAGAAAAUCGAUGGCAUUACUUGAAUAUUGUAUUGUUUAUGGAUUAACAUCAAUAAAAAAAAAAACACUCUAUAACCGUGCUAUUAUGGAGAUUUGUUUCUUUGACUUCAGAUUGUGCUUAUAGCUGCCGUUUAUUGAGUUUCAGGUUUUUUCCUGUGUAUUCCCUUAGCUGUAUGUCUGUGAGGGUGUACCACACCACUACCCACACCAGAGACCGUGCAAAUAUUUGUGGCUUGAGCCAAAAUGCUCCCAUGUUCCAUUUGCCUUUUACGAGUAGCUCUGUGUGUGGGCCUGGCCGCAAAACUAAAACUGCAGGGAGAAAACUCUUUGAGGCAUUCAUUAGUUGGCUAAAGAAAAUGUCACACACACACACGCAGACACACACAUGAAAGUUUGGAAAAAAGAAAGUAUUACUCUCACAAGAGAUAGCCUGACUCGCUCUCCUUCUAGGAAUCUCCGUCCCUGUCCAAGUUGUAAUCCAUUGAGCAUUAUAAAUUCUACACGAGGAUUUAAAACGCCCAAAUUAUGUCUGCUGCUGCACUUGGCUUACAGACGUUUCCGCCCAAUGCGGCACGAAUGGGCCAAGACAGUAGCCUCCUCACGACUUCUCAGGAUAUUAGCAAAACGGAGCUUGGCAGUUUACUUGCUUGUGGGAAAUCGAUUUCAAAAUGCCAAAGUUAGAAGAUUACAAGUCCCAAGUUUCACAUUUGGAAAUAACCCAAC